GGGUUGUGAGGUUAAGCGACUAAGCGUACACGGUGGAUGCCCUGGCAGUCAGAGGCGAUGAAGGGCGUGCUAAUCUGCGAUAAGCGCCGGUAAGGUGAUAUGAACCGUUAUAACCGGCGAUACCCGAAUGGGGAAACCCAGUGUGAUUCGUCACACUAUCAUUAACUGAAUCCAUAGGUUAAUGAGGCGAACCGGGGGAACUGAAACAUCUAAGUACCCCGAGGAAAAGAAAUCAACCGAGAUUCCCCCAGUAGCGGCGAGCGAACGGGGAGGAGCCCAGAGCCUGAAUCAGCAUGUGUGUUAGUGGAAGCGUCUGGAAAGGCGCGCGAUACAGGGUGACAGCCCCGUACACAAAAGCGCAUGUGCUGUGAGCUCGAUGAGUAGGGCGGGACACGUGGUAUCCUGUCUGAAUAUGGGGGGACCAUCCUCCAAGGCUAAAUACUCCUGACUGACCGAUAGUGAACCAGUACCGUGAGGGAAAGGCGAAAAGAACCCCGGCGAGGGGAGUGAAAAAGAACCUGAAACCGUGUACGUACAAGCAGUGGGAGCACAGGUUUACCUGUGUGACUGCGUACCUUUUGUAUAAUGGGUCAGCGACUUAUAUUCUGUAGCAAGGUUAACCGAAUAGGGGAGCCGGAGGGAAACCGAGUCUUAAUUGGGCGUUAAGUUGCAGGGUAUAGACCCGAAACCCGGUGAUCUAGCCAUGGGCAGGUUGAAGGUUGGGUAACACUAACUGGAGGACCGAACCGACUAAUGUUGAAAAAUUAGCGGAUGACCUGUGGCUGGGGGUGAAAGGCCAAUCAAACCGGGAGAUAGCUGGUUCUCCCCGAAAGCUAUUUAGGUAGCGCCUCGUGAAUUCAUCUCCGGGGGUAGAGCACUGUUUCGGCUAGGGGGCCAUCCCGGCUUACCAACCCGAUGCAAACUGCGAAUACCGGAGAAUGUUAUCACGGGAGACACACGGCGGGUGCUAACGUCCGUCGUGAAGAGGGAAACAACCCAGACCGCCAGCUAAGGUCCCAAAGUCAUGGUUAAGUGGGAAACGAUGUGGGAAGGCCCAGACAGCCAGGAUGUUGGCUUAGAAGCAGCCAUCAUUUAAAGAAAGCGUAAUAGCUCACUGGUCGAGUCGGCCUGCGCGGAAGAUGUAACGGGGCUAAACCAUGCACCGAAGCUGCGGCAGCGACACUGUGUGUUGUUGGGUAGGGGAGCGUUCUGUAAGCCUGCGAAGGUGGCCUGUGAGGGUUGCUGGAGGUAUCAGAAGUGCGAAUGCUGACAUAAGUAACGAUAAAGCGGGUGAAAAGCCCGCUCGCCGGAAGACCAAGGGUUCCUGUCCAACGUUAAUCGGGGCAGGGUGAGUCGACCCCUAAGGCGAGGCCGAAAGGCGUAGUCGAUGGGAAACGGGUUAAUAUUCCCGUACUUGGUGUUACUGCGAAGGGGGGACGGAGAAGGCUAUGUUGGCCGGGCGACGGUUGUCCCGGUUUAAGCGUGUAGGUGUGUGUUCCAGGUAAAUCCGGUUCACUUUAACACUGAGGCGUGACGACGAGGCACUACGGUGCUGAAGCAACAAAUGCCCUGCUUCCAGGAAAAGCCUCUAAGCAUCAGGUAACAUCAAAUCGUACCCCAAACCGACACAGGUGGUCAGGUAGAGAAUACCAAGGCGCUUGAGAGAACUCGGGUGAAGGAACUAGGCAAAAUGGUGCCGUAACUUCGGGAGAAGGCACGCUGACACGUAGGUGAAGUGAUUUACUCAUGGAGCUGAAGUCAGUCGAAGAUACCAGCUGGCUGCAACUGUUUAUUAAAAACACAGCACUGUGCAAACACGAAAGUGGACGUAUACGGUGUGACGCCUGCCCGGUGCCGGAAGGUUAAUUGAUGGGGUCAGCGCAAGCGAAGCUCCUGAUCGAAGCCCCGGUAAACGGCGGCCGUAACUAUAACGGUCCUAAGGUAGCGAAAUUCCUUGUCGGGUAAGUUCCGACCUGCACGAAUGGCGUAAUGAUGGCCAGGCUGUCUCCACCCGAGACUCAGUGAAAUUGAACUCGCUGUGAAGAUGCAGUGUACCCGCGGCAAGACGGAAAGACCCCGUGAACCUUUACUAUAGCUUGACACUGAACAUUGAGCCUUGAUGUGUAGGAUAGGUGGGAGGCUUUGAAGUGUGGACGCCAGUCUGCAUGGAGCCGACCUUGAAAUACCACCCUUUAAUGUUUGAUGUUCUAACGUGGACCCGUUACCCGGGUUGCGGACAGUGUCUGGUGGGUAGUUUGACUGGGGCGGUCUCCUCCUAAAGAGUAACGGAGGAGCACGAAGGUUGGCUAAUCCUGGUCGGACAUCAGGAGGUUAGUGCAAUGGCAUAAGCCAGCUUGACUGCGAGCGUGACGGCGCGAGCAGGUGCGAAAGCAGGUCAUAGUGAUCCGGUGGUUCUGAAUGGAAGGGCCAUCGCUCAACGGAUAAAAGGUACUCCGGGGAUAACAGGCUGAUACCGCCCAAGAGUUCAUAUCGACGGCGGUGUUUGGCACCUCGAUGUCGGCUCAUCACAUCCUGGGGCUGAAGUAGGUCCCAAGGGUAUGGCUGUUCGCCAUUUAAAGUGGUACGCGAGCUGGGUUUAGAACGUCGUGAGACAGUUCGGUCCCUAUCUGCCGUGGGCGCUGGAGAACUGAGGGGGGCUGCUCCUAGUACGAGAGGACCGGAGUGGACGCAUCACUGGUGUUCGGGUUGUCAUGCCAAUGGCACUGCCCGGUAGCUAAAUGCGGAAGAGAUAAGUGCUGAAAGCAUCUAAGCACGAAACUUGCCCCGAGAUGAGUUCUCCCUGAGACUUAGAGUCUCCUGAAGGAACGUUGAAGACGACGACGUUGAUAGGCCGGGUGUGUAAGCGCAGCGAUGCGUUGAGCUAACCGGUACUAAUGAACCGUGAGGCUUAACCUUACAACGCCGAAG
rnacentral:rRNA from 4 species